rnacentral:rRNA from 1 species
UGUUUUAUAGCCGUCGGGGUCCCUUAGUGACUUUUGGUGGCGCAGCUAACGCGAUAAGUAGACCGCCUGGGGAGUACGGCCGCAAGGUUAGAACUCAAAUGAAUUGACGGGGGCCCGCACAAGCGGUGGAGCAUGUGGUUUAAUUUGAUGCAACGCGAAGAACCUUACCAGGUCUUGACAUCCUCGGAACUUGGCAGAGAUGCCUUGGUGCCUUCGGGAGCCGAGUGACAGGUGCUGCAUGGCCGUCGUCAGCUCGUGUCGUGAGAUGUUGGGUUAAGUCCCGUAACGAGCGCAACCCUUGUCCUUAGUUGCCAGCACGUCAUGGUGGGAACUCUAGGGAGACUGCCGGUGACAAACCGGAGGAAGGUGGGGACGACGUCAGGUCAUCAUGGCCCUUACGACCUGGGCUACACACGUGCUACAAUGGCUGGUACAGAGGGUUGCUAAGUCGCGAGGCGGAGCUAAUCCCUUAAAGCCAGUCGUAGUCCGGAUCGGAGUCUGCAACUCGACUCCGUGAAGUCGGAAUCGCUAGUAAUCGCGGAUCAGAAUGCCGCGGUGAAUACGUUCCCGGGCCUUGUACACACCGCCCGUCACACCAUGGGAGUGGAUUGCACCAGAAGUGGCUAGUCUAACUACGGAGG